UGAUGUAAAUGUGUUCUUCACCCCAUAAACAGAUAUUCACUUCACUCGACUCCACGGCCCAGCACCUCCAUUCCGUGAGAGACAUGAUUAUUUCAGCAAUGAAACCUACCAAAUGUUUAAAAUGACUCACAAGGCAGCGAGCGGCACAGAGAUUGGAUUGUGAGAGCUUCGGGAUGGAAAAGGUGACUUUUGGUGGACUCCUCGAUGGCUCCUGGAUGGGUCCAGUCCCCAGAAAGACCAAGCCAUGAUGAGAAGCUCGGAAUUUUCAGCCCUCUCCCACCACCACCGCCCCCCCCCCCCCAUUUUCCAGAAAGGGGAGAGGGGCUGGAUAUGCAGUUAAUAAUUGAUCGUGCCUACGCCCCAAGGUAUGGAGUUAGGAGAGCUUCUAGGUGGGUGAACACAUCCACAUCACAUACUAGGAGGGUGACACAGCCCAAUCCACAGGAACAGAAGUUUCUGCGCUCAGGAUUCUCCCAGACCUCACCCUAGGUGCCUCUUCAUCUGGCUGUUCAUCUGUGUCUUUUAGCACAUCCAUUAUUAUAUAGUAAACAGGUAAACAUAAGUAAGUGUUUUCUGGAGUGCUGUGAGCUGUUCUAGGAAACAAUCAAAUCCAAGGCGGAGGACGUCAUGGGAACCUCUGAUGUGUAGCCAAGUCAGACAGAAGGUGUGGGUCACCCUGAGACCUACUACGUGCAGUGCCGUCUGAAGUAGGGGCAAUCUCAGGCAACUGAGCCCUCAGCCCGUGAGAUAGGGUGCUACCUGGAGGUAGAUGGUGUCAGAGAAUUGCUUGGUGCAGAAACCUGGCCGCACCUGGUGUCAGAAGUACUGUGAGUGUGACAGUCGCAUGAGAGAGGAGGAGACACGCGGAGGACAAGUGCAGGCUUCCUGCUCGGCCACAGCUCUGGAAUCUCACAGUGCCAGGCUGCCGUGGGACAGGGUUUCCUCUGGUUGUGACCGAGUUGUCCACUUGCAAUGGGGUGCUGCCUACAAGACCCUUCGAGUCCCGUGGCCCUGGUGCUGCAGUGACAUGGGGCGCAGGCCUUUGGGAGCAACUAAUUGCCUAAAUGUGGAAGAGUCAGAAGUGAAUUCCAGGAGAAAGAACAAACAUAUAUCCAUUAGCAUCUUACGAUAUUCUCCCGCCUUACAUUACAACAUAAUGUCCGAGCUAUGCUUUUGCAAAUAAACUAUUUACACGUUAUGAAUUCCUCAUUCGAUACACUGCUGUCUACAACUCUGUCAUUAAAAUUAAUAUAAUCGGCUUAACACAUUGCAGCCAGACCGAUUUCCUGAAGGCGGAUUCAUCAGAUUAGUUCAGAGCUCAGAUCCCUCCAAAGGCUCCCCUUUGUCUCUGGAACGUAGUCCGGGCUCCUGGGUUUGGCGCCGGAGAACGUUCACAACCUAUUCCCUUCUGUUUUCAUCUCUGGCUUCCACAACCUGACACUGCCGGUCACAUCUGAUGGGCUGGUGCCCAUCAGAGCACCAUCCCCUGAAGUGUUGCCCUGCCCCCCUGCUGCCUCUCCACACCUGUCAAGCAUAACUCUUGGGUUCAUACCCUGAAAGGGCGGACCUAUGCCGGCGGACUCCAUCUUGUUCUUUGUCCUCCACCUUGAGUGACUAUGUCCCCAACAUGCCCUCUUUCCGGGAAAAUGGCAGAAACCUCAGACCACGCCUCCUCCCUUGAGUAACCUCCCGCUCACCCGUUCAAACUUCCUGAUCAAAACACACCCAGAGACCUGCGGACCGGGACUCCAACCCUUCCCCAGCCAAUCAGCUGAGGCCACGACCCUUCCCCAGCCAAUCAGCUGAGGCCACAGCCAUUACCUCACCAACUGCCCCUAGACCCCUAUGAAACCUUUGUGCUUUUGAAACUCGAUCUCUGGGGCGCCUGGGUGGCUCAGUCGGUUAAGCGUCUGACUUCAGCUCAGGUCAACUCGCUCUCUCUCCCCGGCAUAUCACCACUGCGUUGGUGCAGUGAUAUUUGCGUUCCGCCCAGCAAGACUGAAUCCACAGCCAAGAGUUCCUAGUUCGGGGAUUUCAUGCUAUGUGGUCAUACCAGCAGAGGGUAAGAAAGCCUUCCCUAACUACGGUCCACCACACCAUGCCAAGCCUGUGGAAAAAGCAAGCGAGGGCGUUUGUGAAUUUACCAUGAUCCUAUCCCCACUUCCACGUGGUGCAACGACAGUUCAUUCAAACAGAAGAGGCUGAUUGAAAGAAAACCACAAACAACUUUGGAAGUAAAAUCUUAGACAAAGCAAACAUUCAUUGACUCUUGGAGACAGAUCAAAUAUUUAUUAACUCAGAAAAGAAUUAAAGUCUAU